rnacentral:tRNA from 1 species
UCCCUAGUGGCUCAGAUGGUGAAGAAUCUGCCUGCAAUGCAGGAGACCUGGGUUCGAUUCCUGGGUAGGGGA